AGGUUCCUUCGGGAACUGGAGAGUGGCGCACGGGUGAGUAACGCGUGGGGACCUACCUCUUAGUGGGGGAUAACGGUUGGAAACGACCGCUAAUACCGCAUACGCCCUUCGGGGGGAAGAUUUAUCGCUAAGAGAUGGACCCGCGUUGGAUUAGAUAGUUGGUGAGGUAACGGCUCACCAAGUCGGCGAUCCAUAGCUGGUUUGAGAGGAUGAUCAGCCACACUGGGACUGAGACACGGCCCAGACUCCUACGGGAGGCAGCAGUGGGGAAUAUUGGACAAUGGGGGCAACCCUGAUCCACCCAUGCCGCGUGAGUGAAGAAGGCCUUCGGGUUGUAAAGCUCUUUCAGAUGCGAAGAUGAUGACGGUAACAUCAGAAGAAGCCCCGGCUAAUUUCGUGCCAGCAGCCGCGGUAAUACAAAAGGGGCUAGCGUUGUUCGGAUUUACUGGGCGUAAAGGGCACGCAGGCGGUCUUGCCAGUCAGGGGUGAAAGCCCGGGGCUCAACCCCGGAACUGCCUCUGAUUCUGCAAGACUAGAGACUAAGGAGAAGGGUGGUGGAAUUCCCCGUGUAGAGGUGAAAUUCCUAAAUUUUGGGAGGAACACCAGAGGCGAAGGGGGCCACCUGGACUAGAUCUGACCCUCAAGGUGCGAAAGCGGGGGGAGAAAACAGGAUUAGAUACCCUGGUACUCCACCCCCUAAAACAAUGAGGGCUAAUUACUCGGGAUUUCUAUUU
rnacentral:rRNA from 1 species